ACAGUUUUUUGAGCUAAGUAUUUCAAUUAUUCCCAUUUGGAGAUGAGAAAACUGGGGACUUGGGAGGUUAGGUAACUUAUCCAGAAUGACAAAACUAGUAAAUGCCUGGCAGGAUUCAAACCCAUGCCCAUCAGCCAUUGAAACCCAAAGCCAGAAUUUUUAACCAUGCACAAUUCACAAAUGUAAAAUUUUUAAUGAACUCUGGAUAAUAAGAGACCACACUGGAUAAGGAGAAACCAUAGAACUAUUUAUCACGCAAUCAGAAUUAUAGUUCCACUUCCAUCACUAACUUGCUGUUCAACCUUGUAUAAGAUGAAGGUCUUAUUCUCUACAUCAGUACAGUAAAUUAUAGGAGGUAAAGAUAACCAAAACUUCUCCUAAGAGACUUGAGAGCACAUGACAUCACCAAUAACUUUAUUCAGAGCCCUUCUUUAAGCUGUUUUUAUGUGGUUAUAACAGUUAGCCUUUACUGGUUAAAGGAAUUAAAAGGGUGAAGAAAGUUCUUAGACAAGAAACUUUUUGGCUCAAUAUUCAUGGCUAUUAAUACCAAACUACAGUUUUCUGGGUAGUGGCAGGGUCUUUAAUCUCAUUUCACCUAUAGGAUAACAAAGGUACUUAACAAUAAGGCCAAGUGUAAAGUUCACUUCCCAGGCUGUCCCUCAGCAUGGCUUGCCCCACUGGUUGAGUUGACUCAUAGCUCUCACAGCCCAGUACUGGUAUGUGGAGCCUAAGAAAUAAUACAUUUAUCCAGAAGAUGGAUGAAUUAUUUCAAGGAGCAGGUAAAGGAUCAGAGAUGUCACUGAGUCACACCAAAUACAACCUAGUCUAACUAGUCAAUCUUUUCCAGGUGAGAUUCUUGCCUUUUUGCACCAAGCCAAAAUUUUUUAAAAGACUUAAAGAGAAGAAAAAACUCUUAAGAAUCUGGUAACUUUUUAAGUCAAAUUUCUAGAACUAACCCAGGGCCUACCAAGCCUCUAAGUGUUCAAGUUUCAACUUGAUAAAAGUAUUACUUUCAAUCUCUGUAAUUUUUAUUCUAGGCAUUAUAAUUUCCUUUCUCAAGGAGUUGAAAAAAAAUUACAUAUGGCACCAUAAAUUGACUUACUGACUCAAGUUAGAAUUGAAAUUUCUACAGCUUUAAACACUGAAUCACUGCACCACACAUGUAGGGAUUGCUUUCUGAGUUUUCAUUCUAAAAACACAGAAUUCGUUUUAUUUCCAAGUAUGAUUCCCAUUUGAUGAAGUAGAAGCAUUUGAAAUUUUACUUCAGAAAACACUGGCUCAGAUAAAUUUGUUAUUUUUUACAACCUAUUGAGUAGAUUUCCCAAAUACUGAUUUUAAAGAACCUUUGGUCAUGUAUUCUUCACAUCAUUCUACUUGCCAUGAGUCACUGAAGUAUAUUUGAUGUCCAUAUACAAAUAUGAAAUAAAAACAUUAGUCUCUAAUUUAGAUAGGAAAAACCUUUAGAACAAGGAACAUAUUCUAUAUCUUUCUAUCUUUAAAAGCACAAAGCACAAGGAGUGGCACAAUACAGGAGCUCAUUUAAGUCUGAUAAGUAGGGAAUUCAUGAAUUACAGUACUUAGUUAUUUAACAUCAAGUCCAAAGCUGACUUUCUUAAGCCAUUUACUUGCUUUCUUCAUAAAGUAGAGUGGUGCUAACAAUGCCUCUUGUGCCUAUGAUCUUAAACUGAAAUUUUAAACUGAAAAUUUACAGACACUAUGGCACAUGACUUUUGUUUGAGCUAAAUAUCUUACGUUAGUUUCUUAAAAUGAAGGGUCUACUUCCUGAAUUGUUAAAAUUAGAAGCAAAUUUAUAUUUGCACCUAAGAUGGUAAAGAGAUUAUAAAGAUUGGCAAACACCUGAAUCAAACAGUUAUUUCCAAAGACUGGGACCAAUAACGAUCUUCUGCUAUUUGAAUUCCUAUGACCAUAGAAAUACGUAAGGUACAUAGCUUUAUACAGAAGGAUCGGUGGGGAAGAGACGAUCUCAACUCAGAACACUAAUGACCCGGUCCAGAAACACAAGUAUUUUAUCCCAACAAAGCUACUGACCAAAUCACCUGGCGAGACAUAACCACAUCUCACCCGGAGGACCUGAACUCAAACGACUAAGAACACAGGACCUGCCAUCAGGCAGCUUCAGGAGACCAGAGACCGCGGCUCAAAAUCAGGGUCCUGGUGGGCACAGCCACGGCUUCAGCUGUGUGGAUAAAGAGGCAGUAUGCCUGAGGAAGCCACCGCCACGCCCAGAAGUCAGACGUCAGAGCCUCCGGGCAUUCCAGUCUGUGUGCUGUCCAGCCACUGAGCACAUAGAUUCAGCUAGUCCCAUGGAGGGAGCCAACCACCCCCGCUUCGUGGCUGUGGAUGUGUGUCUCUAUUUUUAGGUUCUUAGUGGGAUGAUAUUGGAGAUUCAGUUUCAACAAGAGAAAUCCUCUGAUGUAUAAAGAGUGACAUAGAUUUUCCAGUCAUAUUUAUUUUUCAGCAAAGGAAACCACAAAAAGGUAUUGAAAAUUUUUGUGUUUAUCAUAAAUAGAAGAAAAAAAAAGUUUUUCAAAGUAGCAUACAAGAAGUCAAAAUACCUGGUUCUCAUUAUUGUGCAUUUAUUGCUAAUGAGUUAUGUGACAGUAAUAUCACUUAUUUUGGGGUCUCAGUUUUUCCAAUGCACAGUGAGGGGCUGGACUGAAGGAUUGCAAGUUCCUUCAAAAAUAAUAUGAGAUUAGUCCUUGAAAAGAAAAUGCAAAAAUUUAUUCAUUCAAGGAAGUACCUCGAGAUCAGACCCCUAUGUUUCUGAAGUAUUGAUGGCUACAAGAAACAACUGUUUUAAAAUGUCAGCAUUUUCUUGAUUCUUGAGCAGCCAGGAACUUUGCUAUUGCUCUUUGUAGGAGAGUGUUGUGCUGGUAGGAUACACUGGGCAUUUUUAAGUUUCCUGAGAUCAAGGCCUAAACAUCCUCAGGACAGGACACCUGAGACUGAAUGUCUGAGUGCUGAAGCAAUACGGAGGUACUGGUUAAGGUAUAUUCUGGUCAGUGGCAGCCACAGUGGUCCCUGCAGGAGAGCAAUCAGAGAGAGACCAUGCAUAGGGGGACUGUUGUUGGGGAUAAGGUAAUGGGCUCUGCAAACAGCAGUAACAAAUAUCCAAGUUUAAGUUUCCCCAUCUGCAUCGUUUGUUUUCUCUUCUCCAUACCCUGCAUUUGCUGAGUCUGAAGCGACGAGUGUGGGUCAGUGCUCAAAGGAGCUGUGGGAGACCUGCAGUGGCUGCAGCAGUGCGGACAUGGUGCUGUGACCUGGAGAAUGGCCGGAGCAGUGCAGAGGGAGAGGCCAGGCAGCCCAGGGGGACCUGAGGGGCAUGGAAUGAUCCUUCCCAGAGGAAAGGGGACAUGGUAAAAGGCAGCCCUUCCUUCAGCCCAUUUUAAAAAAAUUCUGCUGUGGUGGUCAGAAUAAUGAUGUCCAUGCCCUAAGCCCUGGAGGCUGUGAAUAUGUGACUUAACCUGGCAAAAGGGACUUUGGAGAUGUGAUUAAGGUUAACGGCCUUAAGAUGGAGAGAUUUUCCUGAAUUAUCAGUUAUUGGGUGGGCCUAGUCUCAUCACUUCAAAGUAGAUGAGGAAGGUAGGAGAGCUGGUCAUAGAGAUUAAAUGAGGAAAGAGGCAGGAGAGAUGAGACAUGAGAAAGACUGAACUGCCAUCUGACUCUGAAGAUAAAGGGGACAAUAAGCCAAGGAAUGCAGGAGGGUCUAGAAGCUGGGAAUAACUCUUGACCAACAGCCAGCAAGGGAACAGGACCCUCAGUCCUACAACCGCAAGAAACAGACGCCUGCCGACAACCUAAAUGAGUGAAAAUGUGGGUGCUCCCAUAGAGCCUCUGAAAAGGAACACUGCCCUGCCAACACUUUGAUUUGGGCCCGGUGAGACCACCUUUGGACUUCUAAUCUACAAAUCCCUAAGAUGGUGGAUAUAUUUUGCAUUCAAAGAAAAUUAUAUUUUGUAUGCUGGAUUUACUCACAUCAGCAAGCUUUAUGCUUGAAAUUUUUAUCUGGAAUAUUGUUUUGUGAUGGUUAUUUUUAUUUUGUGUUGUUUUUUCACUUUGCCGGUCUGCUAGUACUAAAUACCGAAUGGAAAUCAGGAUUUAGAACACAUAUAAUACUUAGAUAAUGCCAGAAUUCUCUGUGUAGCCAUAGUAGAAUACUUGGCAUGUGUGAAAUUUCAGUAUCACAUAGGUCCCCUAUUUCUGACCUGAUCUCUAAGCUUUUUGGACAUUUUCUAUUUUCUUUGUGUUGGAUCUAAGAAAGACUGGUUCUAAUGCAAGGUAGUUUGACCUAGGAUUCCUGAAAAAUUGUACCUUAGUUUUCACAUCUUAGCAUUUUUUGUGGCUUGAAUAUUCUUUUAAGCCUAGUCUCAUUUAAAUGCUAAUGUCUGUUUUUCAAGUGGCCAGUUUUUUGUACUCCUCAGAACUGAUCUGAGUGUGGAUAUUCCAUUCACUUCAAAGGAAACAUCAUGCUCGGAUCCUCUCCACAGGGUGCUCAGACUAAGACAAGAAAUGAUCCCUAUAGCAUUUUCUCCUGCAUUUGUGAGGAAAAUAAAAUAAAAAGAUUGCCCAAUGCCUUUAGCACUCUAAGUAAUUGAAUCAGUACUUUUUUUGGAGCACUCAUACACUAUUGUGAGUUCACAAUCUUAAAGAGCCUUUUUAACACUGGGACAUUAAAGGUAUGUCAGUAUGACAGACUAUUCUAGUGUAAUUAUUGCUUUCAAACAAACAGUAUACUCUGUUAUUACUCUUGUGCAUAUGUUGGGAAUGAUCUCAUGCAGUGGGAGGCAAUUGACUACAUGAUAGAUAGACACUUUACAUGCAAAAAUAUUUUAAAGGGAGGACAAAAUAUAUUACCUUAAUGUGGUCAUAUAUAGUAGCUAGUUAUUAAAUGUCCAAUAGGUAUUUUUCCAGUGGUUUGUAAAUUGCAAUUAACCUUUCUUCAUUUGCUAUCUUGGAUCUUAAAAUUCUUUUUAUUCUGUUUUUACUGGGAGCCUUAGAACAUGCAUGAUUUAGAAUGCAUCAGUUUGAAGAUAGGAAAUGAUCAUUUAAAUUGCCACUAGUUUUCAUUCUCAAAAUUAAGAGGCAUUUUCUUUUAGUUUACUACUAAUAAUUAAGGACUUUUCUCUUUUUAAAUAUUGAUAUGACUUAAGAAGACUGUUUAGGUGUAACCAAACUUAAUUUGAAUCAGAGAAAUAGUAAUAAACAUUACCAUCAGUUGAUUUUUCCUUAUCAUUUGUAAGCUAUUUCAUUAUUUAAUUGGACAUUCACCAAAAUUCUUUGAAAUGAAAUUAGUUUUAGGAUCUCCCUUUUAUACAUGAGGACACUCAGGAUUAGAUAAAUAAAAAACUCACUCAGGGACUUACAGAGCUGGAAAGGAAUGGAAUUGGUAUUCCAACCCUCUUUUGUUCUUUGGCUGAAAUUACAGUGAAGUGUUCACAGAUCUAAUUCAUUGAUCCAUUCAUUCUUAUCUAACAAAUAUUUAUUGAACACCUACUAUGUGCUAGUUACCAUUCUAGUAGCUGAAAAACACUAAAGAAGCAAAAGCUCACUGGCACAAGAAUACACCCACAGAUCAAUGGAACAGAAUAGAGAGCCCAGAUAUAAACCUACACAUAUAUGGUCAAUUAAUAUAUGACAAAGAAGCCAUGAAUAUACAAUGGCAAAA